rnacentral:rRNA from 1 species
GACGAAGGUGGCUAGCGUUGUUCGGUGUUACUGGGCUUAAAGCGUGCGUAGGCGGAAAAGCAAGCGCCUUGUGAAAUCCCCCGGCUUAACCGGGGAAAUGCUCGGCGAACUGCUUUUCUUGAGGCGAGUAGGGGUGCACGGAACUCUUGGUGGAGCGGUGGAAUGCGUAGAUAUCAAGAGGAACGCCGGUGGAGAAAUCGGUGCACUGGGCUUGUUCUGACGCUGAGGCACGAAAGCGUGGGGAGCGAACGGGAUUAGAUACCCGCGUA